rnacentral:rRNA from 1 species
GACGUAGGGCGCGAGCGUGUCCGGAUUUAUUGGGCGUAAAGCGUGCGUAGGUGGUGAGUUAAGUCUGUCGUGAAAGCCCCGGGCUCAACCUGGGAAUGGCGAUGGAUACUGGCUCGCUAGAGUGCGGUAGAGGAGAGUGGAAUUCCCGGUGUAGCAGUGAAAUGCGUAGAGAUCGGGAGGAACAUCAGUUGCGAAGGCGGCUCUCUGGACCAGCACUGACACUGAGGCACGAAAGCGUGGGGAGCAAACAGG